rnacentral:rRNA from 1 species
GACGAACGCUGGCGGCGUGCUUAACACAUGCAAGUCGUACGGUAAGGCCCUUUCGGGGGUACACGAGCGGCGAACGGGUGAGUAACACGUGAGUAACCUGCCCACAACUUUGGGAUAACGCUAGGAAACUGGUGCUAAUACUGGAUAUGUGCUCCUGCUGCAUGGUGGGGGUUGGAAAGCUCCGGCGGUUGUGGAUGGACUCGCGGCCUAUCAGCUUGUUGGUGGGGUAGUGGCCUACCAAGGCGGCGACGGGUAGCCGGCCUGAGAGGGUGACCGGCCACAUUGGGACUGAGAUACGGCCCAGACUCCUACGGGAGGCAGCAGUGGGGAAUAUUGCACAAUGGGCGCAAGCCUGAUGCAGCAACGCCGCGUGCGGGAUGACGGCCUUCGGGUUGUAAACCGCUUUCAGCAGGGACGAAGCUUUUUGUGACGGUACCUGCAGAAGAAGCACCGGCUAACUACGUG